rnacentral:rRNA from 1 species
UUUAUCAAAAACAUGGCUCCUUGUAUUCUAUAAAUGGGGAGUCGGACCUGCCCGGUGAAAUGAUUUAACGGCCGCGGUACCCUGACCGUGCGAAGGUAGCAUAAUAAUUUGCCUUAUAAUUGAAGGCUUGUAUGAAUGGUUUGACUAGAACAGAACUGUCUCUUUAUAACUUCAUAAAACUUUAUCUUUAGGUGAAGAAGCCUAAAUAAAAUUAAUAGACAAGAAGACCCUAUCGAGCUUUAAAAAAAUUAAUAGAUUCAUCAUUAAUAUUUAUACACAAUUAACUACUAAAAAAUUUUAGUUGGGGCGACUAAGGAACAAACAAAACUUCCUAUACCAUAAUGAUCUACAUAUAUUGAUCCAAAACUUUUGAUUAGAGAAAUUAGUUACCGUAGGGAUAACAGCAUUAUCCUCUUUGAGAGUUCUUAUCGAAAAGAGGGUUUGUGACCUCGAUGUUGGACCAGAAUAUCCUAAAGAUGCAGAAGUCUUUAAAGGUUGGUCUGUUCGACCAUUAAAAUUCUACGUGAUCUGAGUUCAGACCGGCGUGAGCCAGGUCAGUUUCUAUCUUUAAUUUUUAAUCCAAGUUUAGUACGAAAGGACCAACUUGCAAUAUCAGAUAUUAAAAAAGAAAAAAUAUAAUUAAAAAUUAUCAAAUUAGCAAAUUUUAAUGCAAUUGAUUUAGGAUCAAUAGAAACAGGUGAAAAUCCUUUAGUUGAUAAAUACAGAUGGCAGACUCAGUGCAUCAUGUUU